rnacentral:lncRNA from 1 species
UAUAUAUUUAUAUUAGAUGGCAUAAUAUUUUAUAUUCUUGUUACAUAUUAUACAUAAUUAUAUAUUACAUAUAUAUAAUUACUUAUUACAUCUAGAACUAUAAUAUAUAAUAUCUAUAAUAUUAUAAUAGUAAUAUUUAUUAUUGUAUAAUAUUAUUUAAGUUCCUAAUUCAAUGGGCAGUUGCCACAAGGUCUAUUUUGCUUUUUCUUAAUUUUCUUUUUACUUUUACCUAAUUCUCAUCUUACUCCAUACACACCCCUCCAUUAUAAACCCUUCACUUAGUAAUCCUUAUUAAUAAUAUUAAUAGAAUAAUAUUAAUAACAUUGAUAAUAGAAUAAUAAUUAUUAUAACAAUUCUAAUAUGAUAAAAUUGUAAUUAUGAUAAUAUGAAUAAUUAAUCCUUAAUAAUUCUUAUUAUCAAAACUAUAUUAUUAAUAUUAAAUUAUUAAUAUAAAUUAUUAAUAUUAAAUUAAUAAUAUUAAUAUGGUUAUUCAUAUUAAUGUACGGAUAAAUAUUCCUGUUCCCCCAGGAGCGGCGGAGCCUGGAGCGGCAGCGGGAACAGCUCCGGGAGCUGCGGGAGGAGCUGGGCCCCGGCCUGGGGACAGGGACAGCGCUGGGGACACUGCUGGCCCCUCCGGUGGCUCCGGUGUCUCCAGCGGCUCCAGCGGCUCCGGUGUCCCCGGUGACUCCGGUGGCUCCGGUGACUCCGGUGUCCCCGGGGCUGCUGCCGGGCCUGGCAGCCCCAGUGGCCCCGGUGGCUCCGGUGGCUCCGGUGUCCCCGGUGUCCCCGGUGUCCCCGGGGCUGCUGCCGGGCCUGGCGGCGCUCCUGGGGCACAGCGGGGCCCGGGCGGGCGUGGCCGCACUCUACGGACACGUCCUGCUGCUGAAGGAGCGCGCACGCAGGGAUCACGAUUUCCUGGAGAGCGAGCGGCUCUUCCUGGAGAGCCUGAAAAAGGGACCCUGAGAGAGCGGUGGAUUUUAAUAAAAAUAAAAUUAAAAUUAAAAUUAAAAUUAAAAUAUUCCCUGCUGAGAGCCUUCCCCCAUCUGCAAAGGGAAAAAUUGAUAAAAAUAAGAAUAAAAAUAAGAAUAAAAAUAAAAAUAAAAAUAAAAAUUAAAAAAAAUAAAUUUUCUGCUGAGAACCUUCCCCUGUUUAAAAAUGGAAAAAUGUAUUUUUGUAAAAAUAAAAAUGUUUAUUUAAA